rnacentral:misc_RNA from 1 species
GAUGAAGAACGUAGCGAAAUGCGAUAAGUAAUGCGAAUUGCAGAAUUCCGUGAGUCAUCGAAUCUUUGAACGCACAUUGCGCCCUUUGGCAUUCCGAAGGGCAUGCCUGUUCGAGCGUCAUUUAUCAACCCUCAAGCCCGGCUUGCGGUUGGGUCCCGCCGUGGGCGACCACGGCGGACCCGAAAGGUAAUGGCGGUGCCCGUGGGGCCCUGGAUGCAGCGAGCUUCUCGGCACGCGUCCCGGCGGUCCCCGGCGCCGUCUCCACCAAUCCACCACGCAGAUUGACCUCGGAUCAGGUAGGGAUACCCGCUGAACUUAAGCAUAUCAAUAAGCGGAGGA